AUAAACAUCAUAAACAUGACAUGAAUAUCAAUCACAACACCUUUAAUCAUGUAAUUGAUAUAUCAUGCAUCAUAACAUUAUAAACAUAUCAGUCGUCAUCAUCAACAUAAUAUCAGUCAUCAUCAUCAACAUAAUAUCAAUCAUCAACUACAACAUCUCAUUAUGCAUUUUCAACUACCAUCAAUGCGUAAUCACAACUACAGGCGACUCUUAAAAUUUAAUUUGAAGAUCUAAUAGUAGUACCUCAAAAUUAGCUAGAAUCCUGGUUGACAGUCAAAAAUCAAUGAACCCAAUCCUAAACAUACAAGGAACCAAUUUAAUAACUUAAUAAAAUUAACGAUUGAAUAUAGACCCAAAAAUCAUCUUCAAUCAACCCAAAGUUGAGGUUGCAACCAAUUCAACCUUGCUUAAUUCUUCCAAUUGAGCCCAUUAACCUUCAAUUGAAAAAUCCAAAUUAAAAUCUAAUUAAACUAAUCCUAACGUUAACAAAAUUAUAACCAUGACCAAUAACUAACACUAAUAAUUAAUUCUUGUUAGGUGUAUCUUAAAUCCUAUUAAUGUAAAUAAAUUAGGCUUAGUUAAUUUGGGUAAUGAUGUUAAUGUAAAUAAAGUAGGCUUAGUUAUUUUGGGUAAUUACCCUUGUAUAAAUACACAACAUUGGUCAAUAAACAAUGAGAGGGAAUAUUCUUCAGCAUAUCCUUCAACAUGGUAUCAGAGCUAGGGUUUUGAGGCUCCAUCUCAAUCGCCGCCGCCGUCGCCGCCGCCGCCCGUGAACGCCUCCAUCCCGAAUCGUCUCGAUACCUCCAGGAAGAGCUGCGUCCCGAAUCGUCUCCAUCAUCCUCGUCGCGCCUCGCAGCUGUUCCGCCACAUCUCGAACCGUCUCCGUCAUCCUCGUCGCGCCGAUUAGUCGCAGCUCCGAUCUGUCUUCAUCCGCGAAGCGCCAGUCGUCUCCGAUUUACAGCUCCGAUAGUCGCGCCACAUCUCGAUCUGUCUCAGGUGUCCAUCUCCGCUCCGAUCUGUCUCAAGCUGGUUCCGCUCCGAUCUGUCUCAAGCUUCGCCGCCCAUUCCUUCGCCGCCGCUCUUCAACCCAGAUCCGUCAUCUUGGAUGUCUCCAUCCGCAGCCGAGCUCUAGAUCUGUCGUCGUGCCCAUUCCUUCGCCGCCGCUCCGCAACCCAGAUCCGUCGCUGCAAUCGUCGGUCGGUUCGUGAAGCAUCGCCGCCCAUUCCUUCGCCGCCGCUCUUCAACCCAGAUCCGUCAUCUUGGAUGUCUCCAUCCGCAGCCGAGCUUUAGAUCUGUCGCCGUGCCCAUUCAUUUUCUCUCCGUUCGUAAAGACCUGCUGCGCAAUCUCUGUCUCCGUCAAGGCAAAUCUCAGCCGCCAAAUACAGUAAAACUCAAAUCAAAAUGGAGAGAGACCAUAUCUUUAGACCCAUUUCUACAAUACUUGAUGGUACAAAUUAUAUCACAUGGGCAAAUCAAAUGAAAAGUUUUCUUAUUGGAAGAAAACUAUGGCGCAUUGUAACUGGCGACAUCACCAAACCAACUGCAAAGGAAGGGGAUAACACAUUCAUUGAACGUCUCGAAGAUUGGGACAGUAAAAAUCAUCAAAUUAUCACCUGGCUUGGUAACACCUCUAUUCCCGCUAUACAUGCACAGUUUGAUGCCUUUGAUGAUGCUAAAAUAUUAUGGGAUUUUUUGUCUACACGCUUCAAGUCUAUUGGUUUAGCCCAUUAUUACCAACUGCACAGUACACUUGUAAAUCUAAAUCAAGAUAUUGGUCAGUCUGUUAAUGAAUAUUUGGCAGUUCUUCAACCCAUUUGGACUCAACUUGACCAAGCGAACAUCAGCAAAGAUCAUCUUCGCCUUAUUAAAGUCCUUAUGGGAUUACGUCCAGAAUAUGAAUCUGUUAGAGCUGCUUUACUACACCGGAAUCCCUUACCCUCAUUAGAUGCAGCUAUUCAAGAAAUUCUGUUUGAAGAAAAGCGUCUUGGCAUCAACUCUACUAAACAAUCUGAUGUUGUCCUUGCUAGCACAUACACUCCCAACAGAGCCGCAAAUAUGUUUUGUAAGAAUUGUAAGCUCUCUGGUCACAAAUUUAGUAACUGUCCUAAAAUAGAGUGCAGGUACUGCCAUAAACAUGGCCACAUUCUGGAUAACUGCCCUACCAGACCACCCCGACCUCCUAGCACUUCCACAAAAGAGAAAAUUUUUACCAAACAUGGUUCCUCAUCUGUUGUUGCUGCGACCUCGGAUGAUUCAUCCCUCAUUCAGAUAAGUGAUCUUCAGAGCUUAUUGAAUCAACUAAUUUCAUCAUCCUCCGCUCUGGCUGUUUCAUCAGGUAAUCGAUGGCUUCUUGAUUCUGCCUGUUGUAAUCAUAUGACCUCUGACUCUUCUCUUAUGUCUACUUCUAGCCCUACAAAAUCUUUACCUCCUAUUUAUGCUGCUGAUGGUAAUUGUAUGAACAUCUCUCAUACUGGUACCAUUGAUACUCCCAGUGUACAUCUUCCCCAUACUUACUGUGUUCCUAACCUGACCUUUAAUCUAGUGUCUGUUGGUCAAUUAUGUGAUCUGGGCUUAAAUGUUUCAUUUUCUCCCAAUGGUUGUCAGGUUCAGGAUCCGCAGACGGGACAGACGAUUGGAACGGGUCGCAAAGUGGGAAGAUUGUUUGAGCUCACAUCACUUCGGAUUUCAUCUCCUUCUUCCAUCUCUGCUUCGGUCACUGAUUCUGACACAUAUCAGUGGCAUCUUCGUCUUGGUCAUGCUUCCUCUGAAAAACUUCGUCAUUUAAUUUCUGUUAACAAUUUGACUAAUCUUACUAAAUUUGUUCCUUUUAAUUGUUUGAAUUGCAAACUUGCUAAACAACCUGCCUUAUCUUUUUCUCAAUCCAUCUCUAAUUGUGAUAAACCUUUUGAUUUAGUGCAUUCUGAUAUUUGGGGUCCUGCCCCAAUUACUACUGUUCAUGGUUAUCGCUACUAUGUUUUAUUCAUUGAUGACUACUCUCGAUUUACAUGGAUUUACUUUCUAAAACAUCGUUCUGAAUUAUCUCGCACAUAUAUUGAGUUUGCUAACAUGAUUCGCACUCAAUUUUCCUCUCCCAUCAAAAUUCUUCGCACUGAUAAUGCUUUGGAAUAUAAAGAUUCCAUCCUUCUUUCUUUUCUUUCCCAACAGGGCACUAUUGUUCAGCGCUCUUGCCCUCAUACCUCUCAACAAAAUGGACGUGCUGAGCGCAAACAUCGUCACAUUCUUGACUCAGUACGUGCCCUCCUUCUUUCUGCCUCUUGUCCAGAAAAAUUCUGGGGUGAAGCUGCCCUUACAUCAGUAUAUACAAUCAAUCGUCUCCCUUCCUCUGUCCUUCAAAAUACCUCUCCGUUCGAAAAACUAUAUGGUAUUUCUCCCGACUAUUCUAAACUCAAAGUUUUUGGUAGUGCCUGCUUCGUUCUGUUACAUCCUCAUGAACACAAUAAACUUGAACCACGUGCCCGUCUCUGUUGCUUCCUUGGCUAUGGCACCGAACACAAAGGAUUUCGUUGUUGGGACCCUCUUUCCAACCGACUCCGGAUAUCUCGGCAUGUCACUUUUUGGGAACACACUAUGUUCUCUCGUUUGUCCUCCUUCCACACCUCCUUCUCUAGUCCUCAAUCUUUCUUUACAAACACAUCUGUUGACCUUUUUCCUCUCUCUGAACCCACCUUGGAUACUGAGCUUGCACAAUCUUCACCUGCUACUGCAAAUCUGGAUCCACCGUCUGUCUCCGAUGAUGUUCCUGAAUCGCCACCUGCUACUCCUCUUCGUCGCUCUACCCGGGUAAGAGAACCUCCCCCUCAUCUCACUGAUUACCAUUGUUUUUCUACCAUUGUUUCCCUUGUUGAACCCACCUCUUAUCAAGAGGCCAGUAUUAACCCAGUAUGGCAGAAAGCAAUGGAUGAAGAAUUACAGGCUCUUGAAAAGACGCACACUUGGGACUAUGUUGAUUUACCUCCCGGUAAAAGACCCAUUGGUUGCAAAUGGAUUUACAAAAUCAAAACUCACUCUGAUGGAACUAUUGAACGUUAUAAAGCUCGGCUUGUUGCAAAAGGAUACUCACAAGAAUAUGGGAUUGACUAUGAAGAAACAUUUGCCCCUGUUGCCCGGAUGACAUCUGUUCGCAGCUUGUUAGCUGUUGCUGCUGCCAAACAGUGGCCUCUUUUUCAGAUGGAUGUCAAAAAUGCAUUUCUUAACGGCAACCUAUCUGAAGAAGUGUAUAUGAAGCCACCUCAGGGAACUUCUCCUCCUCCCAACAAGGUGUGUCUCCUUCGUCGCGCUCUAUACGGUCUAAAACAGGCUCCACGAGCUUGGUUUGCCACGUUUAGCUCCACCAUUACUCAACUUGGAUUUACCUCCAGCUCUCACGACAAUGCCCUUUUUACACGACAGACAACUCAUGGUAUUGUUCUUCUCCUUCUUUAUGUUGAUGAUAUGAUUAUUACUGGUAAUGAUCAACAGGCCAUAUCCGACCUACAACAAUAUCUUGGUCAACAUUUUGAGAUGAAAGACCUUGGAUCUCUCAAUUACUUUCUCGGUCUUGAAGUCUCUCACCGUUCAGAUGGUUAUCUGUUAUCUCAAGCGAAAUAUGCAUCUGAUCUAAUAGCACGCUCAGGAAUUACAGACUCCACCACAUCUUCAACACCGUUAGAUCCUCAUGUCCAUCUAACUCCGUUUGAUGGUGUUCCUCUUGACGAUGCAAGCUUGUAUCGGCAACUUGUUGGCAGUCUUAUAUACCUAACAGUAACUCGCCCAGAUAUUGCAUAUGCUGUUCAUAUUGUCAGUCAAUUUAUGGCUGCUCCUCGAACAAUUCAUUUCACUGCUGUUCUACGCAUACUUCGCUAUGUCAAAGGCACCUUGGGACAUGGUCUUCAAUUCUCAUCUCAGUCUUCCCUUGUGUUGUCGGGAUAUUCUGAUGCUGAUUGGGCGGGGGAUCCUACUGAUCGACGAUCCACUACAGGAUACUGUUUUUACUUAGGUGAUUCUCUCAUCUCAUGGCGUAGUAAGAAACAAAGUGUUAUAUCUCGUUCCAGUACGGAAUCUGAAUAUCGUGCUCUGGCUGAUGCUACAGCUGAACUUAUAUGGCUUCGGUGGCUCCUUGCCGAUAUGGGUGUCCCUCAACAGGGUCCUACCCUCCUCCAUUGUGACAAUCGUAGUGCCAUUCAGAUUGCUCACAAUGAUGUGUUUCAUGAACGUACAAAACACAUUGAAAAUGACUGUCACUUUGUUCGUCACCACCUCUUAAGCAACACCCUCCUCUUACGUUCUGUUUCUACUAUUGAACAACCUGCGGAUAUCUUCACCAAAGCCUUGCCAUCUAAUCGAUUUUGUCACUUACUUACCAAACUCAAGUUGAUCGCUACUCUACCACCUUGAGUUUGAGGGAGGGUAUUAAUGUAAAUAAAUUAGGCUUAGUUAAUUUGGGUAAUGAUGUUAAUGUAAAUAAAGUAGGCUUAGUUAUUUUGGGUAAUUACCCUUGUAUAAAUACACAACAUUGGUCAAUAAACAAUGAGAGGGAAUAUUCUUCAGCAUAUCCUUCAACAAAUCCAAAUCAAGAACUCGUUAAGUUCACCCAAAAGAUAGCUCCAAAAGCAAACGACUUAAAGAAGUGAAGGUAAGCUCGCGACUCGACUAGGAAAAGGCAAAGAAUAACUUGGUUGCAUGACUGAAAAAAUGAGAGAAACACACAGCUUGAUCUGGAGAAUCUGCUUGCGAAGUCGAAGUGAAAGACAACUUAGUUACGAUAUAUGCAAAGACUUACCGUCGAACGUGAAGCACGACUGGACGGAGGGUGGAAUACGGUGUGCAGCUGGGCUUGGAGUUUGAUGAAUGGGGAGUGGUUCGACCAGCAGUGUGCAACAGUGGAGAUACAUCGCAGUCGAACUCCAAAGUUGGCUCACUCCGGCUCGGGAUGCAUGAUAGGAACGAAGACUAGGCAGAGACUUCGACGGACAGAAACGCUUCUUGUGAUUGUCUUCAAUGACGACAAACCUGUGUGGUGGUACAGACAAGGUGAAGUUAAACAGGAAAGAAGAUGAUGGUUGUGGUAGGGCACACAAU
rnacentral:lncRNA from 1 species